GCCUCAGCUUCUGCGACUCCCCUUGUCCCCCCUUGGAAUCGUGCCGAGGGAUCUGGAGACGUCCUAGAGAGGUCUGGGGGCAUCCAGGGGGUUCUGGACUCAUGCAGAAGAGUCUGGAGAUGUCCAAGGAGGAUCCAGGGAGUCCCCAGGCCUGCCUGCAGCCGGACCCGGUGACACCGGAGCCCUGUGGCGCUGUCACCAUCCUCUGUCCCGAGGACGGGAGGUGAACUCUGUGCCACCAGCAGAGGGGACCACGGGUGACAUCAGUGUGGAACAGCCGUGACGCGGCGGCGUUGUCAUUGGGUGUCACCGUCACGCAGAGGGGACAAAAGGACCCCCCUGGGGGCAUUGCGUCGAAGUUGGGGACACCGUGAGCAGCUUGAGGACUUCCCAGGGGAAGUGGGGGCACCGCGUCACCGUGUCACACCCCAAAGGUGGGGAUGCCCCCACAGUGUCACACCCCAAAGUUGGGGACGCCCCCACAGUGUCACACCCGAAAGUUGGGACAGCUCUGUGUCACCCCGAUGGUGUCAGACCCCAAAGUUGGGACACCCCAAAGUUGGGGUCUGUCCCAGAGGUGGGAGUGCCCCCACAUCCCCACCAUGGCGUCACAUCCCAAAGUUGGGGACCCCCAUCUGGGGACCCAUUCUGUGCUCCCCCAAUUGCAGACAGCACUGUUCCCAUGGGGUGGGGGUGGGGGGCACCCUUUAGUUUUGGGAUUAAGGUUUAUUUCGUGAUAACGGGGGGUUGGGGGAUGCCCCCCCCAUGUGAAUAAAGGGCGGAGGAGCG
rnacentral:lncRNA from 7 species